rnacentral:rRNA from 1 species
GGGUAGAGCACUGUAAUGGUUGGGGGGGUCAUUGCGAUCUACCCCGCCAUAGCAAACUCCGAAUACCGAGAAGUGCGAGCAUGGGAGACAGACGGUGGGUGCUAACGUCCAUCGUCAAGAGGGAAACAACCCAGACCGCCAGCUAAGGCCCCCAAUGCGUGGCUAAGUGGAAAACGAGGUGGGAAGGCAUAGACAGCCAGGAGGUUGGCUUAGAAGCAGCCAUCCUUUAAAGAAAGCGUAAUAGCUCACUGGUCGAGUCGGCCUGCGCGGAAGAUGUAACGGGGCUCAAGCCAGUUACCGAAGCUGCGGAUUCACAGUUUACUGUGAGUGGUAGGAGAGCGUUCUGUAAGCCUGUGAAGGUGGGUUGUGAAGCCUGCUGGAGGUAUCAGAAGUGCGAAUGCUGACAUGAGUAGCGUUAAAGGGGGUGAAAAGCCCCCUCGCCGAAAGCGCAAGGUUUCCUACGCAACGUUCAUCGGCGUAGGGUGAGUCGGCCCCUAAGGCGAGGCAGAGAUGCGUAGCUGAUGGGAAACAGGUCAAUAUUCCUGUACCGAUCUAUAGUGCGAUGUGGGGACGGAGAAGGUUAGCUCAGCCAACUGUUGGAAUAGUUGGUUCAAGCCUGUAGUCGUGCCUGGUAGGCAAAUCCGCCGGGCUGAGAUGAGGGGUGAUAACGGGUCUGCUUGCAGACGAAGUGAGUGAUACCCUGCUUCCAGGAAAAGCCACUAAGCUUCAGCUAUAGACGACCGUACCGCAAACCGACACUGGUGCGCGAGAUGAGUAUUCUAAGGCGCUUGAGAGAACUCUGGAGAAGGAACUCGGCAAAUUGACACCGUAACUUCGGAAGAAGGUGUGCCUUAAGUAGGUGAACCUGUACAAGGGGAGCCGAACAAGGUCGCAGAGAAUCGGUGGCUGCGACUGUUUAAUAAAAACACAGCACUCUGCAAACACGAAAGUGGACGUAUAGGGUGUGACGCCUGCCCGGUGCUGGAAGAUUAAUUGAUGGGGUGCAAGCUCUUGAUCGAAGUCCCAGUAAACGGCGGCCGUAACUAUAACGGUCCUAAGGUAGCGAAAUUCCUUGUCGGGUAAGUUCCGACCUGCAUGAAUGGCGUAACGACUGGAGCGCUGUCUCGGGGAGUGACUCAGCGAAUUUGUUGU